rnacentral:lncRNA from 1 species
CAGCAAGUGCCCGCAGGAAGGUUGGGCGAGGCAGAGGCAGGUACAUGGCACCCCAGAGCCCUGAAAGGACCGAGACCUCUGCAGGGAGCACUGAAACCUGAGGGGUGAGAUGAAAGUCCCCAAGGACCCUCAUCCCCCUUCACGCUCAUGGAAGAGUCUAAGGUGAAGCAGUUGAACCGGGGAUGCCCUGACCACAGGAAUGGGGGUUCUCCACAGAAAAGGAAAAGGUCCUGGGGAAAUGCCAGUGCUCCUUGGCUGUGUAGUUUAGGAGAAUCUUUCUGGCCAGGAAUUUGCCUCAACAUAUCUCCUACUGGGGCAUGUGAGUCCUUUGCUCUGCUUGAGAAAUUAUCCUGAAAACCUUUGGGUUAUUUUGUGGAUCUCACCUGGAUGACCUAAAGGGUGUGGAUUUCAAGGGCAGAAGAAAACAUCAGUCCUCACGGUGCAUGAAAUUCCAGCAUGCUCCUCUAAAGGGGACCCUUGAAACAAAUAAAUUUCAAUGGAUGAUACUCAAAGGAUGUGUGGGAAGAGCAUGGCUAGAGAAGGGGAGGUGGUGAGCCCCAGCCUUCUAGGAUGGCAGGCCAGGCUUCCAGAACCUUCC